CCGAGUGAGGGCCUUCGGGCUCCGACCUCCAACCCUUUGUGAACACCACCCUUGUUGCUUCGGGGGCGACCCUGCCGUUUCGACGGCGAGCGCCCCCGGAGGUACCAUCAACACUGCAUCUUUGCGUCGGAGUUUAAGGAAAUUAAACA
rnacentral:misc_RNA from 1 species